rnacentral:rRNA from 1 species
AACGCGAAGAACCUUACCUGGGCUCGAAAUGUAGUGGAAUGGGGUGGAAACAUCCCCGUCUCGCAAGAGACUGCUAUAUAGGUGCUGCAUGGCUGUCGUCAGCUCGUGUCGUGAGAUGUUGGGUUAAGUCCCGCAACGAGCGCAACCCUUAUUACCUGUUGCUAACGCGUAAUGGCGAGGACUCGGGUGAAACUGCCUGGGAUAACCAGGAGGAAGGUGGGGAUGACGUCAAGUCCGUAUGCCCCUUAUGUCCAGGGCUACACACAUGCUACAAUGGCCGAUACAGAGGGUUCCCAACCCGCGAGGGGGAGGCAAUCCCACAAAGUCGGUCUCAGUUCGGAUUGCAGGCUGCAACUCGCCUGCAUGAAGUCGGAAUCGCUAGUAAGCGCAGAUCAGCAGGCUGCGCUGAAUACGUUCCCGGGCCUUGUACACACCGAGUAUA